CCCUGUGCGUGCGAUGUCCGUGCGGUAAGCCUGCGCAUAGUUACCCUGCGGUAAUAAGUCUACACGUGCGGCAAGCUGGGGCACUGUGCACUGCCCCAGGCAGUGUCGCUAGCCCCUUGGGUGCCGCACACUGCUAGUUGGCCAGCAACUGCUAUUGUUUGAGUGGCAUGCCUUUAGUUUUCACAUCACCAUCAUGUUGUCUAUCCAUUAGUCACAUCCGUCAACCAUCACGUCGCAUCAAGUCAUUUUGACUUUUCUCUCUCUUCAUAAGAUUUUGCCACU
rnacentral:lncRNA from 1 species